UUCGCCCUUUUCCGGUUGAUCCUGCCGGAGGUUACUGCUAUCGGUGUUCGCCUAAGCCAUGCGAGUCAUAUGUUCUUCGUGGACAUGGCGUACUGCUCAGUAACACGUGGAUAACCUGCCCUUGGGUCCGGCAUAACCCCGGGAAACUGGGGAUAAUUCCGGAUACCGCAUAUAUGCUGGAAUGCUUUAUGCGUCAAAUGGAUUCGUCUGCCCAAGGAUGGGUCUGCGGCCUAUCAGGUAGUAGUGGGUGUAAUGUACCUACUAGCCAACAACGGGUACGGGUUGUGAGAGCAAGAGCCCGGAGAUGGAUUCUGAGACAUGAAUCCAGGCCCUACGGGGCGCAGCAGGCGCGAAAACUUUACAAUGCGGGAAACCGUGAUAAGGGGACACCGAGUGCUAGCAUCAUAUGCUGGCUGUCCAGGUGUGUAAACUACACCUGUUGGCAAGGGCCGGGCAAGACCGGUGCCAGCCGCCGCGGUAACACCGGCGGCCCGAGUGGUGAUCGUGAUUAUUGGGUCUAAAGGGUCCGUAGCCGGUUUGGUCAGUCCUCCGGGAAAUCUGAUAGCUUAACUAUUAGGCUUUCGGGGGAUACUGCCAGGCUUGGAACCGGGAGAGGUAAGAGGUACUACAGGGGUAGGAGUGAAAUCUUGUAAUCCCUGUGGGACCACCUGUGGCGAAGGCGUCUUACCAGAACGGGUUCGACGGUGAGGGAC
rnacentral:rRNA from 1 species